ensembl:lncRNA
ACUCCACUUUUUCCGGCUGAUUACCCCUCUUGCAUCCAGCACUGCAUUGUUGCAUUAUUUUGCAUCACGCAACAUGCAACGGAAACUGCCUGAAACGUCUCAUUUUUUUUCGUGCUCUUUUGUGCACAUACAAAAGCCCUGGCAGCGGUGCCGCGCUGCACUCGGCCCAUUCCGCAGCCCGCGCGCACGCCGGUGCCAAUCUCAGCCGGCACCAAAGCCCUCCGCUAAUCUGCUCCCCAAUUCCUUCUGUUAUCCAACAACAACAACACAACACAACACAGGCCCCCUGGAUCCUCGGUUACCGGGCCACAGAGUGCCACGGCCCUCCGUAAAAACACACAGAUGUUAAGACACAAUGGGAGAUUUUUUUUUUUUUUUAUUGCAUCAGCCAACACAAAGACGUCAACAAGAAGAAAAACAAAAAAGCAUGUAGGAGACAAACGUCAUGCUCAAAUACAAAAGAAGAAUAAAAACGCAAAUUAUGUUGCAAAACGUGGAACACUUCAGAUGAAUAUUUUGAAUGAAUCGGCACGUAAUUAAAGUAUAUUUACAAUACACUCAGAACUAGAUUCACUCCACAAUGAAGCUUCUCCUUCGCGUCAGGUUGAGUGACGCUCAUCAACCCAAACAACGGGAGAGCUGCAGGGAGUCGAGGCACUCAAGUAAAUAAAGGCACUUUUGUGUUGAUAUUUUUAAAACCAAAGAUGCAAAAAACACUCCGCUUGAUUGCAUGUUGAAUACAAAUAUGAUUCACAUACAGUAUUUAAUGGUUAGCGAUAAUGCUACAACUUAAUAUGCAUCAGCGGCCCAACAUCUGUACCAGUCUCAUUGAAUUGAAUGAGAAGGCGUCUCCAAACUUUUUACCGGUUACUGUAUGUAGAAUAUAAAGCUGCACAAAGAGAAAUUAACAUAUGCAUACUUUUAAAAAAUCCAAUAGAACUAUGAUAAAAUAUGAGUUUGUGUUUAUUCUAAAAGCUGGUCUCUAAUCAAUCUGUAAUAAAAGAAAUACAAACCAAAAAAAACAAGUUUCAGCUCCUUCUGGACAUUUAUGGGUUUUCAUCGGACGUGAAAGAGAAGUGACACCUGAAUUUAAUUUGGGCGACCGGCGGCAUCUCUGUCCAGGUGGGGAGAAAGCUGUUGACUUAUCCGCUGGUCUGCUUCAAUUCUUUCCCUGUGCAGCUUCAAAGACCUCAAGCAUGACAUUACAUUCUGCACGUUAACAUUUCCCAUCAAACAUGAACUCAGUAGUGCAGGAUGAUUCCUUGUGCUAGUUGGGAUUUAGACGGCGGGGGCCUCUUGGGUCUUGAGGGCCUCCACCUCCUGUGCGUCUCCCCCCUGCGGGGAGUCCUCGUUGCUGAAGAGGUAGUACGGAGGCGUCUGCCGGGCUUCGAUGAUGAGGACGCCCUCGGGGGACAAGGAGGCGAAGACGGUCACGGGGUCCACGUCAAUCGGGGAUCCUGGCGAGGGAGCGAGACGGACCAUUAGGAAUCAUCUUUUGAUGCAAGGGGAGAAGUUCCCACGUUAAGAGCAGCAGAGGUACAAUCUGCACGCCGCUGUGCGUCGGGUUAAACAUCCAGAUUGAGGAGAAACUGCGCGUCUUGCAUAAUUUGAACAUUUUGUUGUCUGUUAAUUGUUCAAAGCGGCGAUUUUUUUCAUUGACACAAUACCAGUAAACUGCCUGCAGUCAGGUGAUCUCAGCGAUGCGUGUUUAAGAGAUUCUGACUGUUAUUUAAAAAAAUUCAACUAGUCCUUUUGCGCUCGUGAGAAUCUCACACCUGCGAGUUUUAAUUAGGAAUCCUGCGGCUCUGCAGGAGAGAAACACAAACUGCCUCCAGGUGUGAAGCACAAAAUCAACCUGAGGCCAAUUAACCAGAGCAUCUGUCUGCAGAGGUUCAACACCUUUAAAUUACCAUCGGUGCGCAGUUAACGCGCUGCUCUCAUCUGCCAUCGAGGCAACAGCUUUUUUUUUGCUCACCAAUUUUUUGCGUAAUAUUUUUUUGACAUUUGCCACGGAGCGGCGGGAUUGUUGGCUUGUGAUACUGGUUCCAACUUAUCGAGUCGAUUUACCGAAUAAAGCACCUCACUUAGGACUGAAAGAGACGAGCGCACUGAAUCCCCGGGCGGCUCGGCUCUCCGUCCAGACAGCGUGGCCAAAUACGGGCACUGCGAGCAGCCGAGGCGUCUCCGGGAGCUCAGAUAAACAUCAGACCGCCCUGUUCAGACGCGCUAGACAGAGACUCCGGCGUCACACUCCGUUUUAAUUAGAGAGGACCCUCCAAGGGCUUUGCCACUCCGCUGAGAAAUAAGUCGGAAGGGGCCGAAGCUUCCUCGAGUCAGGUUGUCUUUCAGGGGACAAAUAUCACAUUCAGCUCGAACAACGACAUCCAGCAGAAGAAGAACAGUCUAAUAGAGGGGCAACAUCUCCUGAAACAGCCCCGCGGCACAAGAGGAGGGGAAAAGGGUGAUAACGGGAAAUAGUUUUUGGUAGAAACACAGAGACUUGGGAGUCAGAUUAUAGCACAUCCAAUUUAGAUGGAGCCUCAACCGACGUCUGCCAAGACCGAAUGCCUCAGAGUAUCCGGCAGCGUGCACAGAAGUGAAAGAUAAACCCGACAAACAAGUAAACGGAUCAGGAGCGAAAACAUGACCUCUUGAAAAACAGCAAUUCAAUUGCAUCUGAAAAAAUAUAUAUAUAAAAGUUGCAGGAAGUAGUUCCGCAAACCUUUACCAAGGAAGAAGGGCUCAGAGUUCACACAGAUCUCAUAUACAGUCAUGUAACGGUAUUACUGGUAUAUAUAUUAUAUUAUAUAUCAGAUCAGAUCACAUUCAUCUCACAUACUGGUUUUGUACAGCAGGCAACGUUUAAAGCAUCCCGCUCGUUACGACGGAGGUUUUACUUAUUUGGUCCGUAAUGUUAUAUUUGAUCAACUGCUGCUUCUUUACUUUGUAGGAACUACUUUCCCUUCAAUCUGCGCCGUCCCCUUUGCGUCAACAUUGGAUAUGUGCACAGUAAGCAUGAGGGGAAAAGAAAGUAAUAACAGUAAAUCCUCAGUCAUACAAACUAAAACUGUGACCUCUCUGAGGAUUUGGGUAUCGAGGUGAGUUAUUUAUAGAUUUAAAAAAUAAUAAAUGAAACACUAAGGGUCAUUUAGUUGGUUAGAGUUCAGGUAAUCUCGUCUCGGUGGAGAUACGCGAGAUAAGUCAAUGAAACACAAGUGAGUAAAUGAUACACAAAAGGUCAUUUUGGUUUGUUAGAGUUCAGGUUAGCUUCUGAUUAACUAGCGUUUCUCUUUUUCUGUCUGUACAUGUUAAUAUCCAGCAAACGAGCUCAGACGUCUCACAACAACCGCGACCAAAAUGAAUAUUUAAAAACAAGAAUUAAAAAAAUGAUGCCCGGUCUUUUGAUAUUUAAAUUUUGCUUCCGACAUUAAUGCUCUGAUGAUUUAUUAACUUAUUUUCCAUAACACUGCCGUUAUGAGCUUUGUGAGAAACCAAAUGAAAACGUAUUACAGGGUACAUGUAUCACUGCACUGAGUUGAACACAAUAUCACCUCUUACAUAACUGGUCACAAAUAUGUUCAACCAAAAGAAGGUUUGCAUCAUUCAUCACUGGCGUCAUACUCACUGGAUCUUCUUUGUGAAAUUCUUUGUGACUAUUCCUCCUUCUUCCUGCUUCUCUUCGUGUUUCCCUGUUAAAAAAUACAGUCAAACAGACGCAAAUAAAUAUAUAUAUAUAUAUAUAUAUAUAUCUAUAUAUAUCUAUCAAUGAGGUUCAUAAUGGAUGCCACUGAAAACAUCUGGGGAUGAAAGCACAUCGCAUUCGGCACAUUGCUCAGCCAGUUCUGUUGUUUUUGUGCUCCGGGGCCGCUGGCGGGAUGGAAUGAAAUGAUGGAACACCUCCUGCUGGCCGGGUACGAGGCUGUAGCAGCUGCUCG